rnacentral:rRNA from 1 species
GGUCUCCGUUGGUGAACCAGCGGAGGGAUCAUUGCUGGAACGCGCUUCGGCGCACCCAGAAACCCUUUGUGAACUUAUACCUAUCUGUUGCCUCGGCGCAGGCCGGCCUUUUGUGACAAAGGCCCCCUGGAAACAGGGAGCAGCCCGCCGGCGGCCAACUAAACUCUUGUUUCUAUAGUGAAUCUCUGAGUAAAAACAUAAAUGAAUCAAAACUUUCAACAACGGAUCUCUUGGUUCUGGCAUCGAUGAAGAACGCAGCGAAAUGCGAUAAGUAAUGUGAAUUGCAGAAUUCAGUGAAUCAUCGAAUCUUUGAACGCACAUUGCGCCCUCUGGUAUUCCGGAGGGCAUGCCUGUUCGAGCGUCAUUUCAACCCUCAAGCCUGGCUUGGUGAUGGGGCACUGCCUUCUAGCGAGGGCAGGCCCUGAAAUCUAGUGGCGAGCUCGCUAGGACCCCCGAGCGUAGUAGUUAUAUCUCGUUCUGGAAGGCCCUGGCGGUGCCCUGCCGUUAAACCCCCAACUUCUGAAAAUUUGACCUCGGAUCAGGUAGGAAUACCCGCUGAACUUAAGCA